rnacentral:rRNA from 1 species
AGUGAACGCUGGCGGUAGGCCUAACACAUGCAAGUCGAACGGCAGCACAGUAAGAGCUUGCUCUUACGGGUGGCGAGUGGCGGACGGGUGAGGAAUACAUCGGAAUCUACUUUUUCGUGGGGGAUAACGUAGGGAAACUUACGCUAAUACCGCAUACGACCUACGGGUGAAAGCAGGGGAUCUUCGGACCUUGCGCGAUUGAAUGAGCCGAUGUCGGAUUAGCUAGUUGGCGAGGUAAAGGCCCACCAAGGCGACGAUCCGUAGCUGGUCUGAGAGGAUGAUCAGCCACACUGGAACUGAGACACGGUCCAGACUCCUACGGGAGGCAGCAGUGGGGAAUAUUGGACAAUGGGCGCAAGCCUGAUCCAGCCAUGCCGCGUGAGUGAAGAAGGCCUUCGGGUUGUAAAGCCCUUUUGUUGGGAAAGAAAAGCAGCAGGUUAAUACCCCGCUGUUCUGACGGUACCCAAAGAAUAAGCACCGGCUAACUUCGUG